rnacentral:sRNA from 1 species
AUGGAUAUCCUCGUCAUCUAGAUUCAUUCGUAAAUACUUUAAAGUCUACGUAACUAUUAUGAUAUAAAUCUAGAUCUAGGAAAGCUCCCUCCUUCCAACAAUCUAUAUAAAUGAUAGAGGCGUCUUGACAACGGAAUGUUUGUGACUAACCCCUCUGAAUAAUAACAAGGAAACCUAAAUGGAUUCAACAUCUACUGCUAGGACAUCAAACAAGGACUGUUGAGCAUUCUGAACACACAGAAGAUGAGACCAUACCAGGAAGUCUCAGACAUAGUUUUACAACUACAGGGCUUGGAAGAACUAAAGAAUUUCUUCACAAAAUGUUUUUUGAUGAGAUU